GGGAGUUAGUUCAGGGGUAGAACGCUCGCUUCGCAUGCGAGAGGUCAUGGGUUCGAUUCCCAUACUCUCC
rnacentral:ncRNA from 16 species